CGGGACGUGGCGCAGCCUGGUAGCGCACCUGCUUUGGGAGCAGGGGGUCGGCGGUUCAAGUCCGCCCGUCCCGACCA
rnacentral:tRNA from 1 species